CCUACGGGAGGCAGCAGUGGGGAAUAUUGCGCAAUGGGCGAAAGCCUGACGCAGCGACGCCGCGUGAGGGAUGAAGGUCUUCGGAUCGGUAACCUCUGUCAGCAGGGAAGAACGGUCACUGUGCUAAUCAGCAUUGAAUUGACGGUACCUGCAAAGGAAGCACCGGCUAACUCCGUGCCAGCAGUCGCGGUAAUACGGAGGGUGCGAGCGUUAAUCGGAAUUACUGGGCGGAAAGCGCGCGUAGGCGGUAUGUCAAGUCAAGGGUGAAAGCCCGGGGCUCAACGUGGGAACUGCCUUUGAAACUGGCAAACUGGAGUGUGGGAGAGGAUAGUGGAAUUCGAGGUGUAGGAGUGAAAUCCGUAGAUAUCUGGAGGAACAUCAGUGGCGAAGGCGACUAUCUGGCACAUAACUGACGCUGAGGAGCGAAAGCGUGGGUAGCAAACAGGAUUAGAUACCCCUGUAGUC
rnacentral:rRNA from 1 species